UCGGGAAUCAACACCGUGUCCUCUACACAUGAAAAGUAAAUGGCUCAAAGGAAUUAAGCACCGGACAUUGCAUUCAGAGAAAAGAAAACAUUAGAAGUCAAUCCUCAUCAUUCCAAUUUUCUAGAUACUUUCUCAAAGAAAUAAAGGAAAUAAAUGCUAUCCAUCCAACUACCAACUCUAGGUACGUCCCAUCCCAUCACCCUUAA
rnacentral:lncRNA from 1 species